rnacentral:tRNA from 1 species
GCAAUCGUAGUCUAGUGGUUAUGACGCUCCCCUGUCUAGGGAAUUGCCGGAGUUCGAUUCUCCGUUGUCGCGCCA